CACACACAACUGAUCAGGGUGACUGAAGACACAACUCAUGCUUUCAACAUGCAUUUUACUUUAGAUUUUUAUGCAAUCAAGAUCAUCAUUUCAUACAUGAAGAUGUAUUAGAAAAAGCCCGUAAAAUUGCUUUUUAUGAUAUCAGGAGAGGAACUCUUUCCCAGGAACAGUUUGCCGUGUUCCCAAAGUGUUGCAACACAAUAAUUUAGUGCAAAUGUGAGAUGAGCAGCUGCGGCGGAUCAGUGAUGACAUCAGUGCACAAACACCAGAGCAUUCCCGUCUGGAAAACUGCGCUGUAAUGACUAACAGGAACGCUGGGAACAUGCCGGAUAGGAAUAACUGGGAUAAACACACAGUGGAUGUGAGAUACAGAAACAGAAGUUCUUCCUAAAUUCACCUCAAAUUACAAGAACAUCACAAAUUAGAUCUCUCUAACGUCUCAAAUGUUUCUCCAAGACAGCGACUAAAUGCAGAGCAAAUGGAAAUUUUAAGUGGUUUCUGAAGAGAAAAUGUUUUUUCUAAGGAAUUGUAGGAGAAAAAUUUGAGACAAACCUAAAUGAAGCUCAACUGAGAACUCAUGACAUCUCCAGAGCUCGAGGAUGAAGUUUGAGGAGUUUUAUGGAGACCAAGAGACUUCAGCACAGAUGGAGGACUUUACUUUCCCAUGAACCAUCUUACACACACACACACACACACACACACACACACACAACGUCUGUGAAAGAGAUCAGGCUGUGACUUUGGGGGGGUUCAAUAACAUGGAGAUUUUGUUCUGGCUGGUUUGUUUCUGCUGUAGAAAAGCACCUGUCCAUAGUUAACACACACAUGCGUUUUGAGUGGUUUUUAGGCUGUUGCAAUACAGUUAGGGUGUUUCGAGUGUUUUAGGUGGUUGCUAUGCAGUUAGGCUAUUGCGAUGCAGUUAGGGUGUUUAAAGCAUUUUAGGAGUCUGCUAUACAGUUUGGGUGUUUUGAGUGUUUUAGGUGUCUGCUAUGCAGUUAGGGUGUUUCGAGCGCUUUAGGCUGUUGCUGUGCAGUUAGGGCGUUUCGAGUGUUUUAGGUGGUUGCUACGUAUUUAGGGUGUUUUAAGCACUUUAGGCUAAUGCUAAACAAUCAGGAUGUUUCGAGUGUUUUAGACGUCUGCUAUACAGUUAGGGUGUUUAGAGCAUUUUAGGAGUGCUAUGCAGUUAGGGUGUUUCGAGUGUUUUAGGUGGUUGCUAUGCAUUUAGGGUGUUUUGAGUGUUUUAGGCUGUUGCUAUGCAGUUUGGGUGUUUCGAGCGCUUUAGGCUGUUGCUAUGCAGUUUGGGUGUUUCGAGCGCUUUAGGCUGUUGCUAUGCAGUUAGGAUGUUUCGAGUGUUUUAGGCGUCUGCUAUACAGCUAGGGUGUUUAGAGCAUUUUAGGAGUGCUAUGCAGUUAGGAUGUUUCGAGUGUUUUAGGUGGUUGCUAUGCAUUUAGGGUGUUUUGAGUGUUUUAGGCUGUUGCUAUGCAGUUAGGGUGUUUAGAGCAUUUUAGGAGUGCUAUGCAGUUAGGAUGUUUCGAGUGUUUUAGGUGGUUGCUAUGCAUUUAGGGUGUUUUGAGUGUUUUAGGCUGUUGCUAUGCAGUUAGGGUGUUUCGAGCGCUUUGCAUUUAAGGUGUUUUGAGUGUUUUAGGCUGUUGCUAUGCAGUUUGGGUGUUUCGAGCGCUUUAGGCUGUUGCUAUGCAGUUAGGAUGUUUCGAGUGUUUUAGGUGGUUGCUAUGCAUUUAGGGUGUUUUGAGCGUUUUAGGCUGUUGCUAUGCAGUUAGGGUGUUUCGAGCGUUUUGGCGGCUGCUAUGUAGUUUGGGUGUUUCGAGCGCUUUAGGCUGUUGCUAUGCAGUUUGGGUGUUUCGAGCGCUUUAGGCUGUUGCUAUGCAGUUAGGGUGUUUCGAGCGCUUUAGGCUGUUGCUAUGCAGUUAGGGUGUUUCGAGCCCUUUAGGCUGUUGCUAUGCAGUUUGGGUGUUUCGAGCGCUUUAGGCGGCUGCUAUGCAGUUUGGGUGUUUCGAGUGUUUUAGGUGGUUGCUAUGCAGUUAGGGUGUUUCGAGCCCUGUAGGCUGUUGCUAUGCAGUUAGGGUGUUUCGAGUGCUUUAGGCUGUUGCUAUGCAGUUUGGGUGUUUUGAGUGUUUUAGGUGGUUGCUAUGCAGUUAGGGUGUUUCGAGUGUUUUUAGGAUGCUGUUAUGCAGUUGUUUGGGUGUCUUGAGUGUUUUAGGCAGUUUCUAGGGUGUUAUGGCUGUUUUUAGGCAGUUACUUUUAUAUCCUGUGUGUUUUACGCAGUUAGUAUGCAGUUGCUAGGGCAUUUCGAGUGUUUUAGACUGUUGCUAUGUAGUUGUUAAUGAGUGCAGGGUUGCUAGGUGGUUGCCAGGUGUUUUCUUCCUGUUUGGUCUGUAGAUGUGGCUCUGGUUUCUCCUUCGAUGUGUGUCUGUGGUAUUCUUUUGGUCCAGCAGGUGCAUCUGAUCACUUAAAAGUAGCAGCACACCUCUGCUCAACAACACACAUGAUUUGAGGAAUCAUUCAUUUCUGGAGCACAAAUGCUGCAGGAGUGAGUCUGUUUACUGCUGCAGAUCAGGAGCAGAUGGAGUGAAACCAGAGCAGUCACGAAAGCCACAACACACACACACACACACACACACACACACACACACACACACACACACACACACAGUCUCUCCCACUACACACCUUAUCGGUGUGACUCGCUUGCUGCACCUGUGCUGAACUGACCCACUACACACACACAUGCAAUAAACACACAUGCAAGAAAACACACACUUUUGAGACAGACAUUCAACAAACUAGCAAACUAACAUUCGUUAUUUUUGCGGAAGGAAGUUCCGCCCCUCGUUUUGGACUUUAUUCCAUCAACCUGCAAUUGCCAUAAUGCUGUACAGAUGUAGAACAACAUCAAGAGCUCCAACACACACACACACUGAGGUCUGGCUUUACCAUCAAACACUAAUCUAUUCCACAUGAACCACAGCGAGUGCGCGCACACACACACACACACACACACACACACACACACAGUCCCUGAGGAGAAGUGGCUUCCUGUGGCUUGAUUAGGGAGAACCGUGCAAAGACAAGUGCCUCCCACAACAGCACCUGUGACUGUGUGUGUGUGUGUGUGUGUGUGUGUGUGUUUCAGGUCAGAUGUCAAUACAGCCAGGAAACACUUUACACACAACUAAUAGAGAGAGAGAGACACACACACACACACACACAGAUUUUGCUGGUUUCUAUCAGGUUGUCAGUUCAGACGAGACCGCUGAAGAUAAUCUCAGAUCACCGUUUUUUAAUUAAAAAAAAAAUCUAAACAAUCAAAAUGAGUUGAUGAAAAACUAAUGAUUAAAUCAUAAAAUGUAAAAUUAAAAUAAAUAAAUAUCAAAUUAAAAUAAAUAAAUUUCAAAUAAAAACAAUUAAAGUGGAUGAAAAGUUAAUAAUUAAAUAAAAAAUAUAAAAUUAAA